GAAUUGGAAACGGGUUUGAAAGAUGUCCACACAGGAAUAUUAGAUUCUGAACAUGUUGAGAAUAUUGUUGAGCUGGUUCUUAUCGACAGAGAAGGAGAGUUCAACAUCAAGCAAUUCUCUGCAGUUGCCGCUUUCUCUGAGAGGAUCACGUGCAAGGAUCAGCUACCGGUGGAAUUGCUGAAUAGUUUUGAUGGGCAGAAAGAGAUCAUCGAAUCUGCAGACUUUUUUGCUCUGAGCUGGAAACUUGAUGGAAUUAAGGUGAAUCCUGAUGUAAAGAAGAUAUUAGACUCUUUAUAGGAUGAAUACUGGCCAAGAGAAAGGUUUCAUCAUUGAAAAAUCAUUUUUGCACUGCAAAUUGCCGUCGAGAUUAUGGCUUUCAAAAUAUUUACACCAAAUGCAUCGAAUGAGGUAAGGACUCCUGUCGCCAUAGCCUGGAAACAAGUGGCUAUGGCCUACUUCGAGCUGUGACAAUGACCAGCGGCAUAUAUUGUCAACAAAAGGGUUCGCGUGGGCAGACGAGCCAUGCACCCACCCCCCUUUUGAAAAGACUUCCGCGUUUUCAAUAUCUAUCAGCACGUUUCAUGAAAAGCAAAGGGGCUGUUUACAUGAGCCCAGUUACCCGAGAUUCAACGAAGCGUGAGAGGACUUUG